UACGGAGGAUGCGAGCGUUAUCCGGAUUUAUUGGGUUUAAAGGGUGCGCAGGCGGUCUGUUAAGUCAGCGGUCAAAGCCCGGGGCUCAACCCCGGCCCGCCGUUGAAACUGGCUGUCUUGAGAUGUCGAGAGGUAUGCGGAAUGCGCAGUGUAGCGGUGAAAUGCUUAGAUAUUGCGCAGAACUCCGAUUGCGAAGGCAGCAUACCGGCGGCGAUCUGACGCUGAGGCACGAAAGCGUGGGGAGCAAAUAGG
rnacentral:rRNA from 1 species